rnacentral:sRNA from 1 species
GCUGGGCAUGGUGGUGUAUUCCUAUAAUCCCAUCAACUCCGGAGGCUGAGGCAGGAGGAUCACAAGUUCAAGGCCAGCCUCAGCAAUUUAGAGAGGCCCUCAGCAAUUUCUUGAGACCCUGCCUCAA